GUGAAGAACGUAGUGAAAUGCGAUAAGUAAUGUGAAUUGCAGAAUUCAGUGAAUCAUCGAAUCUUUGAACGCACAUUGCGCCCGCCAGUAUUCUGGCGGGCAUGCCUGUUCGAGCGUCAUUUCAACCAUCAAGCCCCCGGCUUGUGUUGGGGACCUGCGGCUGCCGCAGGCCCUGAAAAGCAGUGGCGGGCUCGCUGUCACACCGAGCGUAGUAGAUUUCAUCUCGCUCAGGGCGUGCUGCGGGUUCCGGCCGUUAAACCACCUUCAUAACCCAAGGUUGACCUCGGAUCAGGUAGGAAGACCCGCUGAACUUAAGCAUAUCAAUAAGCGGAGGA
rnacentral:misc_RNA from 1 species